rnacentral:rRNA from 1 species
GAUGAACGCUGGCGGCGUGCCUAAUACAUGCCAGUCGAGCGAACGGACGAGAAGCUUGCUUUUCUGAUGUUAGCGGCGGACGGGUGAGUAACACGUGGAUAACCUACCUAUAAGACUGGGAUAACUUCGGGAAACCGGAGCUAAUACCAGAUAAUAUUUUGAACCGCAUGGUUCAAAAGUGAAAGACGGUCUUGCUGUCACUUAUAGAUGGAUCCGCGCUGCAUUAGCUAGUUGGUAAGGUAACGGCUUACCAAGGCAACGAUGCAUAGCCGACCUGAGAGGGUGAUAGGCCACACAGGAACUGAGACACGGUCCAGACUCCUACGGGAGGCAGCAGUAGGGAAUCUUCCGCAAUGGGCGAAAGCCUGACGGAGCAACGCCGCGUGAGUGAUGAAGGUCUUCGGAUCGUAAAACUCUGUUAUUAGGGAAGAACAUAUGUGUAAGUAACUGUGCACAUCUUGACGGUACCUAAUCAGAAAGCCACGGCUAACUACGUG